GAUGAACGCUGGCGGCGUGCCUAAUACAUGCAAGUCGAGCGAACAGACGAGGAGCUUGCUCCUCUGACGUUAGCGGCGGACGGGUGAGUAACACGUGGAUAACCUACCUAUAAGACUUGGAUAACUUCGGGAAACCGUAGCUAAUACCGGAUAAUAUAUUGACCCGCAUGGUUCAAUAGUGAAAGACGGUUUUGCUGUCACUUAUAGAUGGAUCCGCGCCGCAUUAGCUAGUUGGUAAGUUAACGGCUUACCACGGCAACGAUGCGUAGCCGACCUGAGAGGGUGAUCGGCCACACGAGAACUGAGACACGGUCCAGACUACUACGGGAGGCCGAAGUAGGGAAUCUUCCGCAAUGGGCGAAAAUUUGACGGAGCAACGCCGCGUGAGUGAUGAAGGUCUUCGGCUCGUAAAACUCUGUUAUGAGGGAAGAACAAAUGUGUAAGUAACUAUGCACGUCUUGACGGUAACUAAUCAGAAAGCCACGGCUAACUACGUG
rnacentral:rRNA from 1 species